AGCAUAUUAAUAAGCGGAGGAAAAGAAACUAACAAGGAUUCCCCCAGUAACGGCGAGUGAAGCGGGAAGAGCUCAAAUUUGAAAUCUCCGAUGCUUGCAUCGGCGAGUUGUAGUUGCGAGAAGCACUUUCUAGGCGGAUCGGUCGUGCCUAAGUUGCUUGGAACAGCACGUCGCAGAGGGUGACAACCCCGUCUGUGGCGCGACCGGCCGCUGACGAUGUGCUUUCGAAGAGUCGGGUUGUUUGGGAAUGCAGCCCAAAAUGGGUGGUAAACUCCAUCUAAAGCUAAAUAUUGGCGUGAGACCGAUAGCGAACAAGUACCGUGAGGGAAAGAUGAAAAGAACUUUGAAAAGAGAGUUAAAAAGUACGUGAAACCGUUGAAAGGGAAACGAAUGGACUCAGCAAUGCGCCCUUUGAGAUUCAGCCGGUGGGUGGGAUCGGCCUCGGGUUUGCGGAUCUGAAUGGACCGCGGCCCGGUGCUCGUUUCUCCUGGCCGUCGCACUUCUCUUGGGCGCGCGUCAACGUCGGUUGGGACUGGGUCUGAAAGGUACCGGGAAGGUAGGUGUGGGCCUUCGGGUCCGUUCUGUUACAGCUCGGUUCUCUCAUGGCUCGGGCCCGACCGAGGCGUUGCAGGGCAUGCCUCUUGUGGCUAGGGUCCCCUCCUUCCGGCCGGCUGUCGAAUGUGGUGGACUGCUUGCAGUGCUCGACGAACGCUGCCGGUCGUUGGGGUGGUGAUCUCGUACCAUGCCCUUAGGAUGUUGGCGGUCAU
rnacentral:rRNA from 1 species